rnacentral:rRNA from 1 species
AUGUAUGUAAUUCAUUUCUUCAGAGAUCUUUAUAUAGUGGAGUCACCGGUUGCUCUACAUACAUUCAUGACUGCAUCUGGUGCUGCAUAUAGAGUGAAAAGCCCUGCAUUUGUUGAGCUUGUGAACACUUUCCACAGUUCAAGAUCGAUCGAUCAAGAAUUUGGGGAAAAAGAUAUAAUGACAACGGUACCAGCAGCUACAGAUUUCAACCAAGGAGGCAAGAAUCUACACAUAACCACAUACAAUACCACAUGCCACCGCUACAGAUUCAUCUCAAGUCAGACAUACAUUCUAGCAAGAUUCAUGAGAGUCUGCAUACCAUAG